rnacentral:rRNA from 1 species
CACGUAGGGCGCAAGCGUUGUCCGGAAUUAUUGGGCGUAAAGAGCUCGUGAGCGGUCUGUUGCGUCCGCUGUGAAAACUCGGGGCUUAACCCCGAGCCUGCAGUGGAUACGGGCAGACUAGAGGUAGGUAGGGGAGAAUGGAAUUCCUGGUGUAGCGGUGAAAUGCGCAGAUAUCGGGAGGAACACCGGUGGCGAAGGCGGGUCUCUGGGCCGUAACUGACGCUGAGGAGCGAAAGCGUGGGGAGCGAACAGG